rnacentral:rRNA from 1 species
UACGUAGGGUGCGAGCGUUAAUCGGAAUUACUGGGCGUAAAGCGUGCGCAGGCGGUUCGCUAAGACAGAUGUGAAAUCCCCGGGCUCAACCUGGGAACUGCGUUUUUGACUGGCGGGCUGGAGUGCGGAAGAGGGAGGUGGAAUUCCACGGGUAGCAGUGAAAUGCGUAGAGAUGUGGAGGAACACCGAUGGCGAAGGCAGCCUCCUGGUCUGGCACUGACGCCCAUGCACGAAAGCGUUGGGAGCAAUCAGC